AUGCGUAGGCGGUUUAAUAAGUCUUAAGUUAAAGCCCACGGCUCAACCGUGGAAAAGCUUUAGAUACUAUUAAACUUGAGAUAUAGAGGGUGAAUGGAGUUCCGAGUGGAGUGGUGAAAUACGUUGAUAUUCGGAAGAACACCAGUGGCGAAGGCGAUUCACUGGCUAUAUUCUGACGCUAAGGCUCGAAAGUGUGGGUAGCAAAAC
rnacentral:rRNA from 1 species